UGGCAUUUUGUUUGGUGCACGAACUCAUCC
rnacentral:piRNA from 1 species